rnacentral:tRNA from 2 species
GCCCCCGUACCCCAAUUGGCAGAGGGAGCGGACUCAAAACCCGCCCAGUGUGAGUUCGAGUCUCACCGGGGGCA